CAGCAGCCGCGGUAAUACGAGGGGGGCAAGCGUUGUUCGGAAUUAUUGGGCGUAAAGGGCGCGUAGGCGGUUUGGCAAGUUUGGUGUGAAAUCUUCGGGCUCAACUCGAAGUCUGCAUCGAAAACUGCCGGGCUUGAGUAUGGGAGAGGUGAGUGGAAUUUCCGGUGUAGCGGUGAAAUGCGUAGAUAUCGGAAGGAACACCUGUGGCGAAAGCGGCUCACUGGACCAUUACUGACGCUGAGGCGCGAAAGCUAGGGGAGCAAACAGGAUUAGAGACCCCCGUAGUCCCUGUCUCUUAUAC
rnacentral:rRNA from 1 species